rnacentral:lncRNA from 1 species
UUGUGUUAAAGAAAUAAUUAUUCAAUGAUACUUGUUAAAGCACAUUAAGGAAGACUUUAUUUAGCACCAUCGCUACAGGUUUAGGGACCACUGCAAUGAGUUCUUGCAGUGGAGGAGACAGGUUGGGAUCAACUCUGAAUGCAUCACGGACAAGUGGGAAUGUAUAGCCAAGGAGCAGUGUAGGGGGUCAGUGGAUGGAAAAUUGGUCCAGCCGUCCAUUCCGGUGGAGGCAGAGGCAGUCCUGGGGCUCUGGGGCUCGGGCUUUGUCACCGGGACCCGCAGGAGCCAGAACCACUCGGCGCCGCCUGGUGCAUGGG